rnacentral:rRNA from 1 species
AGCGAACGCUGGCGGCAGGCCUAAUACAUGCAAGUCGAGCGCCCUUUCGGGGGAGCGGCGGACGGGUGAGUAACGCGUGGGAAUGUGCCCUUUGGUACGGAACAACACAGGGAAACUUGUGCUAAUACCGUAUGUGCCCUUCGGGGGAAAGAUUUAUCGCCAUUGGAGCAGCCCGCGUUGGAUUAGGUAGUUGGUGGGGUAAAGGCCCACCAAGCCUACGAUCCAUAGCUGGUCUGAGAGGAUGAUCAGCCACACUGGGACUGAGACACGGCCCAGACUCCUACGGGAGGCAGCAGUAGGGAAUCUUGCGCAAUGGGCGAAAGCCUGACGCAGCCAUGCCGCGUGUAUGAUGAAGGUCUUAGGAUUGUAAAAUACUUUCACCGGGGAAGAUAAUGACGGUACCCGGAGAAGAAGCUCCGGCUAACUUCGUGCCAGCCGCCGCCGUAAAAC